UAGUGAAAUAUAAAAUCUGCUGCAGAUAACAGAUGUGUUACGAGGAAGAGGCUCCAAGAUCAGAUUUCAGGAGCAACCCUGUGCGUCGAUGUCGCCACAUCAGAGUUGCUACAUGGAAAACGGAUCCCCUUCUUCAAACCACAGUCGAGGAUCUUCACCUCUGAUGACGCCACACAGCCUCAAUCCCAGUGCUUCCCAUUCCCUAAAGACCUCAUCUGCACUCUACUAGUUUAGUGCUGAAUUUCAAGGGGACUUUGCAACUACCUCCUUACAGCUAAGCCUCAAACUCAGGACUUUGGGAAUGGAUUUUCCUCAUGCAAAGACCAGAAGAUAUCAGCAUUAGACUAAACUGUCAAACUGAACACUUCCCAAACGUCACCUCCUCUGACUUUCUAUUGCCCGCCAGACUAUGCAUCUUAAAUCAUACAGCUGCUGUUUUGGACACCUAUCGUGUGAAUAUGAACACAUAAAACUUCUGAGGAAUGCAGCCACAUAAAUAAGGGAUUUCCUCCUUUGCAAAGAAGCACAAACAGAAAUUUAAAACUGAAUGUAAAAAAAAAAAGACUGAAUGUGAAAGACUUGUGAAAAAACCUACAUAUAUCUCUCUGCAUUACAUGAAAGAAUGCUUCAUGUAAUCAUGUUUUCUGCCACUUUGCCUUUUAUGUAUGAUGCAUGUCAGCCCAUGGACUGAUAUGGGGAAAUGAGAGGCUUUAAAGGAGAAACAUUUAUUCAAAGUUUAUUUGAAGAUUCCAGUAUUGCUUUUGUGAAUGUUCAUUUAUUACAGACUGCAAAGAAAUAGAAACAUACCAUAUUUAAACAACCUAAAAUAGGAAGUGGUACAUUGUUUGUUUGUGUUUGUAUUACUGUAUGGAAUUUUCUACCAUGUCCAAAGUUACCUGUUUUAGUUUGUACAACAGAUUUUAUUUUGUCCUAAAACAAUUAUCCACCCUGUUGCAUUCAUGAGUUGUAGACCAUUAUUAAUUAAGCAAUAUGCCAUGGGCCAUGAUCCAUUAUAAGGUAAGGAAAAUUCAAUUGAUUAUUUCCACUUAAUUUAUGCAUGAAAUAUAGCAACCUCACAUAUUUGUUUUAUAUUGUCAUUAGGAAUAAAAAUUGUCUUUAGGAUUUUUUAAACACUUGUUUAAAAACAUGUCACUAAUGAGCUGAUCUUAUAUAUGAAGUCAGGACUACAAAAUUACAUAAAAUAUAUCUCUUAAAUGUAUAUAGCCCCCAUUUUUAGUAAACCAUUUUAAUAUUUCUACAAAUAAAAUAUUUAUAAUAGCACUAAAUGAAGAAACUGUUAUUAAUUGACUGCGGCAAUGUAUGCAUGUGCAUGUUGAUUUUUUUUUUAUAUUCUCAGUUGCACAUUCGUUUGAGUCUGAGCAUGAUAUUUUUAAUAGCUGCAAACUUUCUUUUCAUAUGCUGUAAAUGACCAGUUUCAUAUCAUGACUUUUGUUUUGUAUUAUUUUUUACACUUGUGUGAAUCUGGUAUGUCAGUUUGCUUCUGUUACGCUUGAAUUUCCCCGCUGAGGGACAAUAAAGGAUAUUUUUGUUCUUUUCAA